rnacentral:rRNA from 1 species
GGAUUGUGAAGGAACUUUACGGAGGGAAAACACAAUGACUGAGUGGCGGACGGGUGAGUAACGCGUAGGGAACCUGGCCCUUACAGGGGGAUAACAGAUGGAAACAACUGCUAAUACCGCAUAGGCGCCCAGCCUCGCAUGAGGCAGAGUGAAAAACUAAGGUGGUAAGGGAUGGCCCUGCGUCCGAUUAGCUAGUUGGUAUGGUAACGGCAUACCAAGGCGACGAUCGGUAGCCGGCCUGAGAGGGUGGACGGCCACAUUGGGACUGAGACACGGCCCAAACUCCUACGGGAGGCAGCAGUGGGGGAUAUUGCACAAUGGGGGAAACCCUGAUGCAGCGACACCGCGUGGGUGAGGAAGCGCUUCGGCGUGUAAAGCCCUAUCAGUGGGGAAGAAAAAAGACGGUACCCAAAGAAGAAGCACCGGCUAAAUACGUGCCAGCAGCCGCGGUAAUACGUAUGGUGCAAGCGUUAUCCGGAAUGACUGGGUGUAAAGGGAGCGUAGACGGUUGUACAAGUCUGAUGUGAAAGCCCACGGCUCAACUGUGGGAGUGCAUUGGAAACUGUAGAACUAGAGUAUCGGAGAGGCAAGUGGAAUUCCUAGUGUAGCGGUGAAAUGCGUAGAUAUUAGGAGGAACACCAGUGGCGAAGGCGGCUUGCUGGACGAAAACUGACGUUGAGGCUCGAAAGCGUGGGGAGCAAACAGGAUUAGAUACCCUGGUAGUCCACGCUGUAAACGAUGAAUACUAGGUGUUGGGGCCCGAAGGGCGUCGGUGCCGUCGCAAACGCAGUAAGUAUUCCACCUGGGGAGUAC